AGCGGCGGACGGGUGAGUAAAGCGGAGGUAACCUGCCCUAUACACACGGAUAACAUACCGAAAGGUAUGCUAAUACGAGAUAAUAUAAGAGAUUCACAUGGACUUCUUAUCAAAGCUGAGGCGGUAUAGGAUGGACCCGCGUCUGAUUAGCUAGUUGGUAAGGUAACGGCUUACCAAGGCGACGAUCAGUAGCCGACCUGAGAGGGUGAUCGGCCACAUUGGAACUGAGACACGGUCCAAACUCCUACGGGAGGCAGCAGUGGGGAAUAUUGCACAAUGGGCGAAAGCCUGAUGCAGCAACGCCGCGUGAGUGAUGAAGGCCUUCGGGUCGUAAAACUCUGUCCUCAAGGAAGAUAAUGACGGUACUUGAGGAGGAAGCCCCGGCUAACUACGUGCCAGCAGCCGCGGUAAUACGUAGGGGGCUAGCGUUAUCCGGAUUUACUGGGCGUAAAGGGUGCGUAGGUGGUCUCUUAAGUCAGGAGUGAGAGGCUACGGCUUAACCGUAGUAAGCUCUUGAAACUGGGAGACUUGAGUGCAGGAGAGGAAAGUGGAAUUCCUAGUGUAGCGGUGAAAUGCGUAGAUAUUAGGAGGAACACCAGUAGCGAAGGCGGCUUUCUGGACUGUAACUGACACUGAGGCACGAAAGCGUGGGGAGCAAACAGGAUUAGAUACCCUGGUAGUCCACGCCGUAAACGAUGAGUACUAGGUGU
rnacentral:rRNA from 1 species